GGGCCCGUAGCUCAGCCAGGUAGAGCGGCGGACCCAGUCGGUGCCGAGGCUCUUAACCCGUAGGUCCCGGGUUCAAAUCCCGGCGGGCCCGCCA
rnacentral:tRNA from 2 species